rnacentral:rRNA from 1 species
UACAGGGGGGGCAAGCGUUGUUCGGAAUUACUGGGCGUAAAGGGUUCGUAGGUGGCCAACUAAGUCAGACGUGAAAUCCCUCAGCUUAACUGGGGAACUGCGUCUGAAACUGGUUGGCUUGAGUGCAGGAGAGGAAUGCGGAAUUCCAGGUGUAGCGGUGAAAUGCGUAGAUAUCUGGAGGAACACCGGUGGCGAAGGCGGCAUUCUGGACUGUAACUGACACUGAGACGCGAAAGCGUGGGGAGCGAACAGG